rnacentral:rRNA from 1 species
GACGAACCGAGCGAACGUUGUUCGGAAUCACUGGGCUUAAAGGGCGCGUAGGCGGGUCUGCCAGUCUGUGGUGAAAUCCUCCGCUCAACCGGAGAACUGCCUCGGAUACUGCGGGUCUCGAGGGUGAUAGGGGUAUGCGGAACUAUCGGUGGAGCGGUGAAAUGCGUUGAUAUCGAUAGGAACUCCGGUGGCGAAGGCGGCAUACUGGAUCACUUCUGACGUGAGGCGCGAAAGCCAGGGGAGCAAAC